CCAGCUCCUUGUUGUCGUAUAUUUAGUCAAACGUUCUGGGCUCGCCAAAAAUAGAGCAGCCGUGGAAAUAAAUCAGGCUGACUGGAGGUGCCAACAUUGUCUGCCUGAAAGUAAUUAAUUUCUUAUAUCCUCUGCUAUAUUAAUCCUCUACACACGGCCCUGUCUGUCAGCGGAGUUUUUGUAAUUAGUGCCGAAAUCUGGGGGAUGUGAAGGAGGUUUAAGGUGGUGGGGAAGGGCAGAAGGAAACAGGGGUGGGGGAGGCACAAAAUCCAUCUCCACAGAGUGUGGAGAACACGGAGGGCACAGCAGAGAUGGUGGGGAGGGAAGGGGACACAAAUUCUGUGGGGGAAAAUCCUACUGGAGGAAGCAUUUAGGGUCUUCUUUCCAGACAUGGAUAUUCCACCCAGAAAAAACUGUCCAGGAGUCACAAAUUUGGGUUUCCUCAGUUCUGCUGCUGCCAGAACUCCUUUUCUUUUUUUCCUUUCCAACGAGGGAGUCUCGCUGGACUUGCUGACUCUCAUUUCUUAUCUCAGAACCACCAGUCUGGCUGGGAGACACCUCGAGGAGUGGGGAAGUUCUGCCCAGAUGGAGCGUCAAAUCUGAGCCCUCAAGGGGGGAAGGGAUGUUCUAGAAGGCUCCACCUCCUCUGGUCACUUUGGCCUGUCCCAGGUCAGCAUCCCUGAGGCCCUCAGCAAUGUCUGAGUGCCCUGGGAGUGGGGCAAAACCUUCAGCAGCUCUUCAGUGAGAGCAGUGAGGGCUCUGAACUGGGGCUGCCCCUCUAGGAGCAGCUGGGGAUUCAAAAUUGAGGCACAGUGACCCAGUGGGGAUGUGGUGGCUUUGGAGGAGGGGUGAGACACCAUCCUUGGUGACACAGGGUGAGCAGCUCGUUUGUCACCUGCAUCUGAUGAGGAUUUGCAUCCUUGGCUCUGCAGGGCUCGGGGAGGAGAAGCAAAGAGGGGCCCAGGGGUGGGCGGUGUCCAUAGUGUGGUGUCCAAGCUGUGAAUUGAUGUCCAGGCUGUGUGUGACACCCAGGGCUGUGUGUGACACCCAGGGCUGUGUGUGACACCAAGGGCUGUGAGUGAUGUGCUGUGUGACACCCAGGGCUGCGUGUGACACCCAGGGCUGCGUGUGACGUGCUGUGUGACACCCAGGUCUGUGUGUGACACCCAGGGCUGUGUGUGACACCAAGGGGGGGGGGGGGGGGGGGGGGGGGGGGGGGGGGGGGGGGGGGGGGGGGGGGGGGGGGGGGGGGGGGGGGGGGGGGGGGGGGGGGGGGGGGGGGGUGACACCCAGGGCUGUGGUGACACCCAGGGCUGUGGUGACACCCAGGGCUGUGGUGACACCCAGGGCUGUGGUGACACCCAGGGCUGUGGUGACACCCAGGGCUGUGGUGACACCCAGGGCUGUGGUGACACCCAGGGCUGUGGUGACACCCAGGGCUGUGGUGACACCCAGGGCUGUGGUGACACCCAGGGCUG
rnacentral:lncRNA from 1 species